AUUGAACGCUGGCGGCAGGCCUCACACAUGCAAGUCGAGCGAGAGGCGGACGGGUGAGAAAUGUAUGGGGACUGCCCGAUAGAGGGGGAUAACUACUGGAAAAGGUAGCUACUACCGCAUACUAUCGGAUAACCCAUAUGGGAUUAGCUAGUAGGGGAGGUAAUGGCUCACCUAGGCGACGAUCCCUCGCUGGUAUGAGAGGAUGAUCAGCCACUCGGGUACUGAGACACGGCCCAGACUCCUACGGAGGCAGCAGUGGGGAAUAUUGCACAAUGGGCGCAAUCCUGAUGCAGCCAUGCCGCGUGUAUGAAGAAGGCUCCAGGUUUGUAAAGUACUUUCAGUCGGUAGGCGUUACCGACAGAAGAAGCACCGGCUAACUCCGUGCCAGCAGCCGCGGUAAUAC
rnacentral:rRNA from 1 species